AUGGACGCUGGCGGCGUGCCUAAUACAUGCCCGUCGGGCGAACGGACGAGAAGCUUGCUUCUCUGAUGUUAGCGGCGGACGGGUGAGUAACACGUGGAUAACCUACCUAUAAGACUGGGAUAACUUCGGGAAACCGGAGCUAAUACCGGAUGAUAUUUUGAACCGCAUGGUUCGAAAGUGAAAGACGGUCUUGCUGUCACUUAUAGAUGGAUCCGCGCUGUAUUAGCUAGUUGGUAAGGUAACGGCUUACCAAGGCAACGAUGCAUAGCCGACCUGAGAGGGUGAUCGGCCACACUGGAACUGAGACACGGUCCAGACUCCUACGGGAGGCAGCAGUAGGGAAUCUUCCGCAAUGGGCGAAAGCCUGACGGAGCAACGCCGCGUGAGUGAUGAAGGUCUUCGGAUCGUAAAACUCUGUUAUUAGGGAAGAACAUAUGUGUAAGUAACUGUGCACAUCUUGACGGUACCUAAUCAGAAAGCCACGGCUAACUACGUG
rnacentral:rRNA from 1 species